rnacentral:rRNA from 1 species
UACAGAGGUCCCGAGCGUUGUUCGGAUUCACUGGGCGUAAAGGGUGCGCAGGUGGCUUGGCAAGUUUGAUGUGAAAGCUCAGGGCUUAACCCUGAAAUGGCAUUGAAUACUGUUGAGCUGGAGGUUUGGAGGGGGGACUGGAAUUCUUGGUGUAGCAGUGAAAUGCGUAGAUAUCGAGAGGAACACCUGCGGCGAAGGCGGGUUGCUGGGCUGACACUGACGCUGAGGCGCGAAAGCCAGGGGAGCGAACGGG